rnacentral:rRNA from 1 species
UACGGAGGAUCCAAGCGUUAUCCGGAUUUACUGGGCGUAAAGAGUUGCGUAGGCGGUUUACCAAGCAAGGCAUGAAAUAGUGUGGCUCAACCAUACUGCUAUGUUUUGAACUGGUAGACUAGAGGAUGAGAGAGGUUAUUGGAAUUCCAAGUGUAGGAGUGAAAUCCGUAGAUAUUUGGAGGAACACCGAUGGCGUAGGCAGAUAACUGGCUCAUUCCUGACGCUAAGGCACGAAAGCGUGGGUAGCAAACGGG